rnacentral:rRNA from 1 species
UGGGGAAUAUUGGACAAUGGGCGAAAGCCUGAUCCAGCCAUGCCGCAUGAGUGAAGAAGGCCUUUGGGUUGUAAAGCUCUUUUAGUGAGGAAGAUAAUGACGGUACUCACAGAAGAAGUCCUGGCUAACUCCAUGCCAGCAGCCGCGGUAAUACGGAGAGGGCUAGCGUUAUUCGGAAUUAUUGGGCGUAAAGGGCGCGUAGGCUGGUUAAUAAGUUAAAAGUGAAAUCCCGAGGCUUAACCUUGGAAUUGCUUUUAAAACUAUUAAUCUAGAGAUUGAAAGAGGAUAGAGGAAUUCCUGAUGUAGAGGUAAAAUUCGUAAAUAUUAGGAGGAACACCAGUGGCGAAGGCGUCUAUCUGGUUCAAAUCUGACGCUGAAGCGCGAAGGCGUGGGGAGCAAACA